AUCUUUCUAUAUUGCACUUUUAUUGUCACAGGAUUUUCUUGUCAAGCAGCUGGGCAGUGAUGGGGCUUGGAUGGGUUUACAUGACAGAGACACAGAGGAGACCUGGAAAUGGGUGGACGGUACACCACUAACCACUGCAUACUGGGCUCCAGGGGAACCCAAUAAUAGUGAUGAGGACUGUGCUGAGAUUUGGGGUUUUACAGGUAAAGAGGGCUGGAACGACAGGUCAUGCGAUGACAAAGUGAGAUGGAUCUGUGAGAAACCUGCUUCUCUCUGAUUAAACUUGGCGUCUGUCAGCAAGGGACUUCCAACGACCAUCACAAAAGUACCCCAUCCACUUUAAACAUUACUCCUAAAUUAACAGUUCCUGUAAUACUCAAAUCAGUCCAUCUACCUGCUGAAGACCUGCAUCUGCAUGAGCUAAUGCACUGUACUGCUGCAACAUGACCGGGGUAUUGGAAAAACUGCAGUAAUAGCCAGAUGUUCCUAAUAAAGUGGACAGCAAAUGUUACUCUAAGGAAAAAACUGAUUUUCACACCUUUUUAACUGAGCUGUUAGCCAGCAAGCUUCUUUUGUUAAGCUAAUUCACUGUCUAUGGAUGCACUGGAAGUAUUUUUUUGCAUCUGUAGUAAUGAGACCCUUUACCUAUAGGUUUAUUUCACUAUUUUAAUAGAUACAAAAUUCAAUGACAUUAGCUUGCACUGUUUAGUAUUUCUUGAAGGUAAACUAAAGGGCUUUUCACACUUGAAAAUGUUAACCCUGGGUCAUCCUAAACCCCAGAUAAAUAUAACCCUGGGUUAUCUGUAAUCACGUUUCACACUGCUCAUACUAUACCUGGGGUUAACUGUUAAUCCUGGGUAUUCAUUAACAGAUGUUUCACACUGUACAUUCUUAAACACCAGGUUAACGUUCUUAUUUGCAUAUUUGCGGUGUCACUGUCACUGAUUGGACGAACAGCAGGCAACCUGUUUACAAAGUCAACACUUUUCCAUGAGACGCUAUCGAUGCAGAACGGAGAGUUGCGAUUACAUUGUGGCUCCUAGCAACCAACACGGAGUACAGCUAAUUUGUCGGUCAGUUCCUUAAAUACUGUUAUUUCUGACCAUGCCAUCCAAGCUGUCUUGAACAGACUUUUCAGACCUUAAUUGUAAGAAUGAUACCGUCUCCUCAUCACUCCAGUUCACACGCUUUCGUUUUUUGACAUUUCUUACUUCUCUAUCAUUGACUGCUGUUUACAUGACGCGUUUUCUAUUACUGUGACACGAGUUCAGUUUCUGAUUGGCUGUCUGUUGCCAAGCGUCCAGCAGCAACAAGUGAACACCACUCCGUUUCACACUGAACAAACUUAGCACCGCAAUGUGGGGUUAACACCACAAAUUUGGUGCUAACCCCGCUCCGGAGCAGGGUUUCAUAACUCCAGGUAAAAAGCGGUAACGCCACUUUCAAAUUACAGAUGUGAAAUGUUUCUUUAGCAGGGGUUAAAAGCGGUGUAUAUACGACGAUUACCCAGGGGUUAAGCGCAGUGAGAAAAGCCCUUAAGUUAACCCGUUUUCAUGGUCAACUUUAGCUAGCUACAUUAGUGUAUUUUAUUAGGCUGUGUAUUUGCUCGACACUCAGUUUAUCUACCCCACACUCACCGAGUGUUCUGUAAAUGAAACCAGAGUGGGGGAUGUGACUGAAUGCUAGUGUAGCCUGUAGAGGAGUGUUUUAACAUUACUGGCUAUGCAGUCAAGAGCUUUUUUUUUUGGGGUCAUCUUGCAACUAUGCCAUUUUCAGUUUUUAAAUGACAGCAAAAAUAUAUUUUUGUGGGCUC